AUGGCGUACAUUGCGCCCAGGACGCCCACACCCAGAGCAGCAGCUGGCCAUGGCUCAAGCCACACCUGUGAGACUCCUCGAGCAACAAGACGACGCCUUCAAGAAGGGAACGACGCCAUGAUGCCGCCGCCGCCACCUGGUCCGGAGGCCAGACCGAGGGUUUCCCCCGAGCUCAAGGAAGGGAACCCGAUCUGGACCAAAACAACGCCUUCAGAAAGGAAACGGCGCCCACAAGUGUCGCCGUUGUCAGCCUCAAACGAGAACCCAACACCCACCGGAGUUGCUCAAGCAUGCCAACCCCGCAACCGGAAGGGUUGCAAAUGCACACAGUAA
rnacentral:rRNA from 1 species